GCCUGUUUGUGGAAGUGACUCUGACCGUUCCCUUAAGAAUCUUUAAUGCUCUUACAUGAGAUGAGCCUCAGAACAAGCUAAGAACCAUCGAAAGAACAUCAAGCCUGGAAGGUGACAGAAGGAGCAAUGUGUUCUUGAAGAUGUCACCUCAGCCCACCUGCUCCAAGGACAGUGCUUCUUGCGACACUCUGAUAGCUCUGCAUUCUUUUCUGUACCAGGAAGGCACAGAUCAUUCAUGGGGAUGUAUAACCGAAACCAGUCCUCUCCACCGCCUGGGGAUCUUCACUUUCGCAGUCUACGACUGCCUGUGACUCCAGAAAGACAAACUGCAGAUUGGCCAAGAUGGGGAAAUUGAGGCAGAGAAGCCAAGACAUGUGCUAAAGGUCAUGCAGGCUAUGAAUGGAGCUGGAAUGUGAACGCAGGCCAUAUGACCCCAGAGCCCAUGUUCUUGAACCCUUAGAAAGACAGCAGCAACACACCUGGUGCAGCAGCUGCUUAGUUGGAGUGGCUGACAAGGUUGGCAGAGGAUCCCGUUCCUCCCGUGGAGUGGCUGCCAUGAUACUGCCUGCACUGAAGCUGCUCCUAUUUCUGAAAUAUGUAUUGUUAUUUUUUUCCCUGCAUGUUGAACAUUAUACUCUUCUGUUCUUUCGCAUUCUCUUCUUC
rnacentral:lncRNA from 1 species